AGGACGGGAGAGCAAUUGGUCCACUCAUCACAUGACCUGAAGACUAAGGGUUCACUGUUCCCGCACA
rnacentral:tRNA from 1 species